UUACCGGUUUGACAUGACAGAGAUUUUCGCACAGGUGCUGCAUGGCUGUCGUCAGCUCGUGCCGUGAGGUGUUCGGUUAAGUCCGGCAACGAGCGCAACCCCAUCUUAGUUGCUACCAUAUGGGACUCUAGGAGACUGCCUGUGUUAACAGGAGGAAGGCGUGGAUGACGUCAAGUCAGUAUGGCCCUUACGCCGGGCUGCACACGUGCUACAAUGGGAUACAAAGGGCACUGCGAAGUACGCAAUCCCAAAUCUCCCCAGUUCGGAUUGGAGUCUGCAACUCGACUCCAUGAAGUCGGAAUCGCUAGUAAAGGCGAUCAGCACGCGCCUUGAAUACGUUCCCGGGCCUUGUACACACCGCCCGUCACAUCAUGGGAGCUGGUGACCGAA
rnacentral:rRNA from 1 species